rnacentral:lncRNA from 1 species
CCGAUUUUUACAUUACUUUAUUGCCUGGGUUUAUUUGGCACAAUCACUUGGCAAUGUCUUAUCUUGUACCUGCUUUGAUACAGCUCAAUCGAAAGAAGAUUCCGUGGCUGUCUCUUCUUCCAAGAAGGAAUAAUAAACGUUGAUCAUUAACCAACGAAAUUACAUCCCUUACUGGAAUCUGCCUCACUUAAAUGUACUUAAGUCCUUUCCCAGCCGAGGCUUCCCAGCAGAAUUGGGGAAAAAAAAAAUCGGUUGAAGCCCAAGCCCUCCAGUAGACUGACAACAGUGCAGAAGCCACAUCAUUUUAUUGUCCCAGAAAAAGACCUACCUCCCCUGACAUUAAGGACAGAGUCCAGACAAAUAAACAGUUUCCAUGGAAGGACUGUGGGAAUUGCUAUUCAGGUUCCCAAGCAGAGGGGACGACGGGACGGACAACUAGAACAUCCUUGGCAACUUCUACAAUCAUUCUGGUUCUCUUCGCUCUGCUCUCCAUCGCUCUUCUCCCUAAAUAGAAUCCCUCUCCUACCUCUCUCCACAGCUGCCUUCUGUAUUUCCAUCCCAACCUCCUUGAACUUCGGAAAUUAGUGUCCGGGUAUCCAGUCGGUCCUCUGAAGGACCCUCACGAGGCUGUUGCCCCUGUCACCACUCAGCACUAGGUGUUGGGCGAAGAAAGGUUGGUUAGCCGGAAGUGACAGGUGAGGAGGCUUCUGGACCGCUUGUGCGCAGGGUGGCAGCAUCCCGAGGAAGGUUCCAAUCCUGUCUGGCUACGGCUGGACUCUCAUCCGCUCCCCACGCCUCCGGUUGAGCAGAGAGUAGUCACUGCCUCCCAAGGCCCGAAAGCAGGCGUGCAUCCUUAGGGUCCCCAACAAGUCCUCCAACUGCCUGCUGGUCCACCACCCCACAGCAGCUCUUAAUCUGGAACCGACCCAGUUCCUUUCUUCUCAAAGCCCAGCUCCCGGGUCACAUGCCAUCUAGAGCUGCCUCUUGUUGGAGAAGGUGCGGUCGCCCCGGGUGCCCGGCGACUCAAACCCGGUCAGUCAGGAGACCUCAGAGAGGCGACAGGGGGCAGGGCUUCCUGUGGAAAAGGGCUGGACGGCGGCGGCAGCCUCUUGCCUGGCUCUGUGGGGCUUUCCUCCCGGCAAGGGCUUUGCCGAGGUCACUCGCGCGAGGCCGCUCUUGGCGUGCCCGUGGGAGGCUCGGUGGCGUGGGAGGACCAGCGACCUGUGGGUUCCUCGAGCUCCCACGGCGCUGGCAGCGACGGUCCCCCACCCCCACCCCUAUCCUCAGGCUUCCACCAGAAGGCUCCGCAAGACUCACGGACCUCCAAGUCCCCAGGAGAGGAGACAAGGCUCAGGAGUCCUGAUCUAGCUGUGGCCACUGGAAGACUCUCAGGUGAGUGUGUGCAUCUUGGUAUCCAGCACGCAAAGGGUUAAGCCUGGAGAGUUUGGGGGGGGGGUUGGGGGGAUUUUGUGUGUGUGUGUGUGUGUGUGUGUGUGUGUGUGUGUGUGUGUGUGUAUGGGGG